ensembl:lncRNA
CUUGGCAUAAUGUUUCCAUUUUUAGUAUAAUAAAAGAUAGCUAAAAAAAUAAAUUACAAUGGCAUGUGCUAUGGCAGUCCUCUGUUCACACAGAUAAUAGUUUCAGUAUGGACCUCAUUCCACCCAGGAAACCGAGUAGGAAUAAUUAAUGUACAUAGGACAUUUUUAUUUAACACUGGAUGUGCUUACUGCGUGGGUGGGGCUGGUAAAUGCCAUUUCUGCCACCAUCAGCAGCGCUCUUUCUGGACUGGGAGGGCUGGCUCUCCAGCCUUUCUGCAGACCCUUCAAGCCCUGGUCCUGUGAGUGCUGCCAGCACUGGGGAGCUAUUUGGCCAUCAGCAGUGAGGAGGGAACAUGCUGAGGUGAGGAUGCAGAGAGAAAGCCUUCAGGCCUGGGCCCCACCGUGGGCGGCUUAUCAUGGACACCUCAUCCUUGGGACCCAGGGCACAGGGGAGGGUGAGAAGGAGACCAGACAGAGGAUGAUUAAGUGGCUUGCCAAAAAUUCACCCUACAGAGCAGAACAGCAAACUGAACAGCAGUGGUACUGUCAUGAGCUUUUCCAUGCACUUAAGUCCUGA